GGCAAUUAUUCUUUCAGAUAACUGUCUUUUCUGCUGAACUAAGCACUCUGAGGGCACACUCUAUAUUUUUUUAUCUCUGUUACUUAAGGCUUUACCAUGGUUUCUCUCAUCUGUUCGGUGUUCAAUUAGUGUUAACCUGGGUUAGGAUAAGGAAGAGGUUAAUGGAGGAAAUUAAUUUGGGGAUGGCUUUAUAGAUAGGUAGAGUCUGAAGAGAUAGGAAGGUUAAGUAUAAUAUCACCAAAGAUGUUCAGACCACUACUGAGCUCAGUAUGUAAAAUUUUAUUAAAUGUUAAGUCAGUAAUUUGUCCAAAAUGUUCAUUUAUGGGAUAGGUCUAUCUGUCUGGAU
rnacentral:lncRNA from 1 species